GAUGAAGAACGUAGCGAAAUGCGAUAAGUAAUGUGAAUUGCAGAAUUCAGUGAAUCAUCGAAUCUUUGAACGCACCUUGCGCCCUUUGGCCAUUCCGAAGGGCAUGCCUGUUUGAGUAUCAUGAACACCUCAACUCUUUAUGGUUUUCCAUGAUGAGCUUGGACUCUGGGGGUUUUGCUGGCUCACAGUCGGCUCCUCUAAAAUGAAUCAGCUUACCAGUGUUUGGUGGGUAUCAUGGGUGUGAUAACUAUCUACGCUUGUGGUUUUUCCACCAGGUAACCUUCAGCAGUGGAGGUUCGCUGGAGCUCAUAGAUGUCUCUCCUCAGUGAGGACAGCUCUUUGAACGUUUGAUCUCAAAUCAGGUAGGACUACCCGCUGAACUUAAGCAUAUCAAUAAGCGGAGGA
rnacentral:misc_RNA from 1 species